rnacentral:rRNA from 1 species
GCCAGAGCCAUAUCUCCCUGCAGUUCUCACCUAGUUUCCCACUGAAGCUAAUUAGAGUUGAACCUGGCCAGUACCUGGAUGGAAGACCUCCUUUGGAAAAUUAAGGAUGCUGCUGGAA